rnacentral:rRNA from 1 species
UACGUAGGGACCAAGCGUUGUUCGGAUUUACUGGGCGUAAAGGGCGCGUAGGCGGCGUGUUAAGUCAGCUGUGAAAUCUCCGAGCUUAACUCGGAACGGUCAGCUGAUACUGAUGUGCUAGAGUGCAGAAGGGGCAAUCGGAAUUCUUGGUGUAGCGGUGAAAUGCGUAGAUAUCAAGAGGAACACCUGAGGUGAAGACGGGUUGCUGGGCUGACACUGACGCUGAGGCGCGAAAGCCAGGGGAGCAAACGGGG